AGAAGAGACUAUCUGAUGUCUGCGAUACUUUUCAGUUAGUGCUAAAAUAGGCCACGAAUGAAUAUUUAAGCUGCUUGAAAGAACUUAUGCUCCCCGACUGAAACCCAGAAUAUUAGGCUCGAGCAGCCUUUCGAAUAGUUGUCAGAAAGUCAAUGCAAAGGAGGGCGUUGGUUAUCUUCUGAAUUAUUAUGAGAGCCUUGUAACUCUCUAAUUGAUCAGGAGAGCCAUCAUAUGACUCCUUCUGCG
rnacentral:lncRNA from 1 species